UACGUAGGAGGCAAGCGUUGUCCGGAAUCACUGGGCGUAAAGCGCGUGUAGGCGGAUCGCUAAGUCUGUGGUGAAAGCGCCUGGCUUAACCGGGCGAGGUCCAUGGAAACUAGCGGUCUGGAGGCCGGUAGAGGGGGGUGGAAUUCCGGGUGUAGUGGUGAAAUGCGUAGAGAUCCGGAGGAACACCAGUGGCGAAGGCGGCCCCCUGGGCCGCGCCUGACGCUGAGACGCGAAAGCGUGGGGAGCGAACAGG
rnacentral:rRNA from 1 species